CGGUCUUCAUUUUCUCAGCGACUGGGUUGUGAAUACUUUCGAGAUGUUUCUUGAGGGUCGCAUUUAGGAUAAACGGUGAACACGAAGCACCAAAUAGGAUGGACUUAAAACGAUAGACGUCAAAUGGACUUUCCGGGUCCUUUGGGUCCGAUAUCCAGAAAAAUCGUGUGGCAUCCCGAUCUUCCUCGUCCAGAAUUAUGUGGAGAAAUGCCUUCUCGAUAUCAGCAGUCAAGGCAUACCGAUAGCAGCGGAAUCGAAUGAGGAUCGCGGUGAGGUCGUUUAAGAGUGG